GACGAACGCUGGCGGCGUGCCUAAUACAUGCAAGUAGAACGCUGAAGGAGGAGCUUGCUUCUCUGGAUGAGUUGCGAACGGGUGAGUAACGCGUAGGUAACCUGCCUGGUAGCGGGGGAUAACUAUUGGAAACGAUAGCUAAUACCGCAUAAUAGCAGUUAUUGCAUGAUAACUGUUUGAAAGGUGCAAUUGCACCACUACCAGAUGGACCUGCGUUGUAUUAGCUAGUUGGUGGGGUAACGGCUCACCAAGGCGACGAUACAUAGCCGACCUGAGAGGGUGAUCGGCCACACUGGGACUGAGACACGGCCCAGACUCCUACGGGAGGCAGCAGUAGGGAAUCUUCGGCAAUGGACGGAAGUCUGACCGAGCAACGCCGCGUGAGUGAAGAAGGUUUUCGGAUCGUAAAGCUCUGUUGUAAGAGAAGAACGAGUGUGAGAGUGGAAAGUUCACACUGUGACGGUAUCUUACCAGAAAGAGACGGCUAACUACGUG
rnacentral:rRNA from 1 species